GACCAAAACACAAAAACUUAACACUGUGCAAUGAACCGUGAAAUGAGGUCACGGUUAAAUAAAACCUGCUCGACUGACAUAAAGAUCAUAAAAUAUUUCCAUACACCAAAUAUAGUUGACAUAUGGCAUAUACAUGAUAUAGCAUUAGAUAAAAAGACCAAAACUCAAAAACUUAACUUUGACCACUGAACCAUGAAAAUGAGAUCAAGGUCACAUGACAUCUGCCCGCUAGACAUGUACACUUAACAAUCAUUUC
rnacentral:lncRNA from 1 species